rnacentral:rRNA from 4 species
AACUUUCAACAACGGAUCUCUUGGCUCUCACAUCGAUGAAGAACGCAGCGAAAUGCGAUAAGUAAUGUGAAUUGCAGAAUUCAGUGAAUCAUCGAAUCUUUGAACGCAAAUUGCGCCCUUUGGUAUUCCGAAGGGCAUGCCUGUUUGAGUGUCUU